CGGGCGGUAGCUCAGUGGUAGAGCUUCCGGGAAGACCUGGGUUCGAUUCCCGGCUGCUUCC
rnacentral:tRNA from 1 species